rnacentral:rRNA from 1 species
CCUACGGGUGGCUGCAGUGGGGAAUAUUGCGCAAUGGACGAAACUCUGAUGCAGCAACGCCGCGUGAGUGAAGAAGGAUUUCGGUAUGUAAAACUCUAUUGGUAGGGAAGAAAAUGCCGGUACCUGAUUAAGAAGCCCCGGCUAACUACUUGCCAGCAGCCGCGGUAAUACGUAGGGGGCAAGCGUUAUCCGGAUGUUCUGGGUGUAAAGGGAGUGUAGACAGCAGCACAAGUCUGGAGUGAAAUGCCGGGGCUCAACCCCGGAACUGCAUUGGAGACUGGGCAGCUAGAGUGCAGGAGAGGUAAGUGGAAUUCCUAGUGUAGCGGUGAAAUGCGUAGAUAUUAGGAGGAACACCAGUGGCGAAGGCGGCUUACUGGACUGUAACUGACGUUGAGGCUCGAAAGCGUGGGGAGCAAACAGGAUUAGAUACCCGAGUAGUC